AACAGGAAGGUUUCCAUAAUAUUAUGCUGACUCAGCGCGGUUUCCACAGUGUACGUGUCAGGGCUCCUAUUUGAAUUCUUCUUCUUCUUCUGAGACUGUACUAGUAGACUCCUGUGGACUAGCUCAUCUACACUACUCUAUAUAGUUUACUGUGGACUGUGAAGAAGUUCCUGCAGUACCAAUCUGUAUCUUCUGAAGGAGUAUUCUUCUCUACUUCAAUGUCAGUGCAAGACCUAUACAAGAGAUAGUUAUUAAAAAUGUAUGUAGUAGCUACAUUAAUUUUUAUUCUUCGGUCCCAAACUUACCAAUGAUACCAGACAAAACAUGAAUCACACAUAACCAUGUUCCACUUUGACGUAAUGGCUCCACAUUUCCAUUCUGUUCUCUUUGCUUGAACUAAGAAGAGCAAUAAUCAAUACCAAAUUAUUAUACAUUAUUGUACCUUUUUUAUCCAGGAGUUUCUUAGAGAAGUAAGAUUGGAUACUGAUCAAAUCUUCGUCCACCACUUCAUCAGGCAAGUUACCCUUUAUCUCAGAUUCUUGAACGUACUUACCACCAUUACAUACCCUAUGCAGUGUAGGUACAUCCUUGCAGCACAGUAGUAUCAAUUCUAAUGACAUAUAGUAUGUAAAUAAAAGUUUUUAUAUGAUAGGCAACCAUCUCACCUUGUGAGAUACACUCAUUUCCUACAUUGUGUACCUUUGUACUCUGAAGGAGAUUUGCACCUAUAAUUAUAAUGUUUUGUGUUUUCACACGUCUCUUAUAAUCUUCUAAUAAUUAUACCUGUUACAGUAGAACUGAUUACACCCACUGAGGUGCAUCUCGCUAAAAGUAGCUUCAAUGCACUUCUCUAUACUUUCUCCCUGUGAUCAUUAUAAUUCCCUAUAAUUAUUAUUCUUACGUACAAUUAGAAUGUGGCUAGAAACCAUAGAUGUAGUGGAAACUUGCUCACACUCACUGCAUUUAACUGAAGGAACAAGUAUAGUCACGUACUAUCAAUAUUUAAAGCAUACCAGUGGUCGAUAAGAGAGUUGCCAUUACUUUAUCCAUUGCUGACUGAGUCAUGCUGUGCAUGUGAUGUUUGCAAUACUGACUGAGUGUAAUUAAUAUCUACACUUACUUCACUUACUUCUCGUCUACAACUAGGUGGCUGUUUAUUCUGUCAAGAAUUGCCAACAUGAACUCGUGAGCAUCUUCUUGAUUACCUGCAUGGCUGCCAGUGAUGCAUCAAACCUUCGGUAUGUUCAAUAAAAAGUAAGCAGCUUGUAUGCACUAACGUACAAUGUCAUUAUUUCCUUCCUUACUUUUCAGCUGAGAGUAUAUGCCAGAGGGAUGAACUUGGGAUCUCGUCUGACAUUCGUCGUACAGGCUUUUAAGUGUGCACACCAUGCAUAACUGUUCACUUCCCUGACUAUGUUCUGUUACAAAUUUUACAUGAACAAUUGAAUGUGCAUUAUUAAUAUUCUCCUUACCAUGUGGUACUCG